rnacentral:rRNA from 1 species
CUCCGGAUCUUUUUUAGGGACCUGACUGUUAUAGAAUUGGUACUAAGCCAUGUGAGUCGUUGUAGCAAUACAAGGCGGACGGCUCAGUAACACGUAGUCAACCUAACCUAUGGACGUGGAUAACCUCGGGAAACUGAGAAUAAACCGCGAUAGAUCAUUAUGCCUGGAAUGGCUUAUGGUUCAAACAAUUUAUUGCCGUAGGAUGGGACUGCGGCCUAUCAGCUUGUUGGUGAGGUAAUGGCCCACCAAGGCUAUAACAGGUACGGGCUCUGAGAGGAGAAGCCCGGAGAUGGGUACUGAGACACCGACCCACGCCCUAUGGGGCGCAGCAGGCGAGAAACCUUAUCAAUGUGCGAAAGCACGACUAGGUUAAUCCGAGUGAUUUCUGUUGAAGAAAUCUUUUGUCAGUCGUAAAACCACAGACGAAUAAUGGGUGGGCAAGUCUGGUGUCAGCCGACGAGAGAAAUACCAGCACCUCGAGCGGUCAGGAGGUUUAUUGGUCCUAAAGCAUCCGUAGAAAAAAAUGCUAGUCUCCAGUUAAAUCCAACUGCUCAACAGAUGGGCUGCAGGAGAUACUACACAGCUAUGGAGCGGGAGAGGCAGACGGUAUUCAGUGGGUAGGGGUAAAAUCCUUUGAUCCAUAGAGGACCACCAGUGGAGAAGGCGGUCUGCCAGAACGCGUUCGACGGUGAGGGAUGAAACCUGGCGGAGCAAACCGGAUUAGAUACCCGGGUAGUCCCAGCUGUAAACGAUGCAAACUCGGUGAUGCAUUGGCUUAUGGCCAAUGCAGUGCCGCAGGGAAGCCGUUAAGUCUCAAAAAGGGAUCCUCGGGCGCUUGUCUGAACUGGAGACCUCAUAAGA